UACAGAGGAUGCAAGCGUUAUCCGGAAUUACUGGGCGUAAAGCGUGCGCAGGCGGUUGUGCAAGACAGAUGUGAAAUCCCCGGGCUUAACCUGGGAAUGGCAUUUGUGACUGCACGGCUAGAGUGUGUCAGAGGGGGGUAGAAUUCCACGUGUAGCAGUGAAAUGCGUAGAUAUGUGGAGGAAUACCGAUGGCGAAGGCAGCCCCCUGGGAUAACACUGACGCUCAUGCACGAAAGCGUGGGGAGCAAACAGG
rnacentral:rRNA from 1 species